GCUGCCUGUGGCCUCGGCUACUCCGGAGGCUGAGGCGGGAGCAGCGCUUGAGCCCGGGAGCUCUGCGCUGUAUGCGCUGUGCCCAUUACGCGGCGACACCGAGUUCCGCAUCGGUGUGGUGACUUCCCGGGAGCAGGAACCACCAGGUUCCCCAAGGAGGGGGGAACCAAGCAGGGCAAAACUCCUGUGCUGCUCGGUAGUGGGAUCGCGCCUGUGAGUGGCCACUGCCCUCCAGCCUGGGCAAUACAGCGAGAUCCCAU
ensembl:misc_RNA Metazoa_SRP Metazoan signal recognition particle RNA